rnacentral:rRNA from 1 species
UACGGAGGGUGCGAGCGUUGUCCGGAAUCAUUGGGCGUAAAGCGCGUGUAGGCGGCCCGGUAAGUCCGCUGUGAAAGUCGGGGGCUCAACCCUCGGAUGCCGGUGGAUACUGUCGGGCUAGAGUGCGGGAGAGGCGAGUGGAAUUCCUGGUGUAGCGGUGAAAUGCGCAGAUAUCAGGAGGAACACCAAUUGCGAAGGCAGCUCGCUGGAACGUUACUGACGCUGAGACGCGAAAGCGUGGGGAGCAAACAGG